UACGUACCGUCCUAACGUUAUUCGGAAUUACUGGGCUUAAAGGGUACGUAGGCGGCCCUGUCAGUCGGGUGUGAAAUACCACGGCUCAACCGUGGAACUGCGCCCGAUACUGCAGGGCUUGAGGGAGACAGAGGUAAGCGGAACUGAUGGUGGAGCGGUGAAAUGCGUUGAUAUCAUCAGGAACACCAGUGGCGAAAGCGGCUUACUGGGUCUCUUCUGACGCUGAGGUACGAAAGCUAGGGGAGCGAAGGGG
rnacentral:rRNA from 1 species